AUUACUUUCCAUACACAGAUUUCUGCAGGGUAUGUAAUUCAUUUUCAUCAGAUUCUCCUUGCAGUCCUUCUGAUAAUAGGAAAUGGAUUAAGAAGAGUUAUAUCCUUCACAGUCAUUUUCAGUGGUGAAAAUCCAAGUUGGGGACUAAAUAUGGUCUUUUUAUUCUUUAUCAUUUUAGUGCUGAGUAAAUUAAAGCUGUCCUCAUUCUUCUGCCACAUUAAAAUCUCUCAGCCUGUCUCUUUCAAAGGAUAAAUGAUAUUUUGAAACAUAGAAUUUGCUUUGGCCUGCAAUUUAAUCAGCUCUCCAAAUCCUGCCAAUCACCUUAGGACUAAAACAGUUUUUCUGUUCAGAACAUAAUAGUGUUCUGUUUAGUGUCUGUUCAUGCCAUUAUAAGUCAAGACUGAGUCCUUUGUAGCUCUCUACAAUAAGAGGACUUAACGGAGAUCUCAAUUUUAUUCUGCUUCCCUCAUUGUAAACAACUUUAGACUCAAAAUGACCCCUCACUUUAAACUGGAUACAGAUAUACUCUUCCCUAGACUCUGUGAUUGGCUGUCAAGAAGCUGAACAGGCAACUCUAAACUCAUCCUUAUAAUCCCAUUAUCUUCCUCUUCAUAUUUAAGAGUCUACUUUUAGAUCUGCCCGAGAGUGCCAUUCUGCUAAAACCCCAUACAGUAUACACUGCCUCUAAUUAUAUAUUACAGCAGAGGAGAGUGUUUCUAGGUAAAUAAUUGGCUAACGGGUACUGAUUGCUGUUAAUUAAACUAGAUGGACAUAGCUUUCUUAGCCUACUUCCUACAUUUUUCUGAAAAAUCUCAGUUUCUAACUAAAUUUAAACAUCUAUAAAUGUAUAAAAAUUAAGACAGAAAAAUGUUAACAGAUUAAUUCAUUAGUAGUCACACUUUCCGUGUAACCUACAUAUCGCCCCUUCAACCCAUACUCCAAGCCCUUCUAUUCUGCUCCACUUUUUCUCUUUUCCAUAGUAUUUAUCACAUUUAAUAUUCUAGACAAUGUUCUCUUAUUUGCUUAUGUUUCAUUGUAUUCUCUCUGUUAGAAAUUAUGCCACACAAAGAUCAAGAACUUCAUCCCUUUUACUCACUGAUAUUUAUUCAUUGAUAUAUGCCAACUGCCUAGAACAGUGCACAUAGUACAAUGGAUACUCAAUAAUCCCCAUUGAGAACUAGUAUAUAUGUAUUUUUUGUUUCAUUUGGUAGGAAGGAGAACAGAAAAUGUUGUGUUUAGACACUAUAUUUUCUUUCAUUCGGGUUAUUUGCAGUUUUUCGCUUUGUCCUCUAUUUGUCAGCAUGUUAUACUCACAUAUAGUCUAGGACCUAAAUAGAUAGCUUCUUCACAUGAGUUACAUGAUUCUUGGUUAUUGAACCUAACUGGAUGGAAUAGUCAAAGUGACUCACGGUAUACCAUGUUUACAAAUAAAGGUGACAUACAUCAUACAAAGAAGGUAAAUAGCUCAAGUGAAGCUUUUAGCAAAAUUUUAAUAUAAGAAUAUUUUGUCUUGGGCUUUCUUGUUUUCUCUUUUUCUGGUUCAUCGCCACUAUGGCAAUGUCCAUCUUCUCCACACUUACAUACAUGCAUUCCAUUUUUAUCCACUAUAAAAAUGGUCUCUCAGAAAAUGCUCUUAAAUACCCAUGGAACACAAGGGUGCAAAAAGUCAUAAAAUUUUAACUAUAACCCCCCUAAGAAGAAACUUCAUUUUCACCCAAAACAAAGCCUUAAAUCAAAGGGGUGAAAUGAGAAAUGUCUAUUGAUGGAGCUUAAAAUAUAUAAAUGAGGAAACAAAAUAUUUUGGCAGAAUGUUCAUACCAUUGACCCUGAAAUCAUUUAAAUCAGAGAUCAACUAAUUGAGAUUCCAAUCCUACCAAUCUCCUCACCCCAUCCUCAAUGUGAUUCGUAACACAGUGUUAUUCUCCUUUAAAUUACUACGGUUCUUAUAUUUUGAACUGCACUUGGCAGAGUCACUUUAACAUAACACAUGAGAAAAGACAAGCAGAAAGCUAUGUGUCCUAUAUUGUGCUCAGCAUCCUUCCCUCUUUUAAUAAACCUAGUUUUUCUCUCAGCAGGUUGUCCAGUAAUCCAUUAUUAGUUAAAGGCACUAAACCUUCCAGAGAGUUUCAAUUUUAUAGAGCACUCCUGAACAAGAAAUUGAUUUUCAACACUGGAAUUUCCAGAAAUCAGUGAGAAUUUAGGAUCAGAGUGUCUAUAGGAGUCAAAAAGGCUAUUAACAUUUCUGUUUUCUGCACACAGAGGAAAAAAUGUUUGGUCAAUGUGUAGAAAUUCUUCCUAUUUUUAAAUCAAGAAUUGCCUUCAAUCUGUAAAAUGAAAAGCACUAUAUACAUCCUGGCUAAUAUUAUUAACAAUAAUUACAGUGCCUCUAUGCCUUUGCAUAUAGUAUUUUCUCAAUCGGGAAUUUUCACUGUACCUCUUUUUAACUCUGUUAAAGGGCUCCCUGUUCAAAUAUUUAUUACUGAAUAAGAGGUUUCCUCAACUGUAUACAUCGAUCUGUCACCCUCUAGCAUUCUUAUUUGUUAAAUAAUCCUUUUGGAACUUUAUCCUGAGAUAUUUUUAUUGAAACUAAUGGUUUAGUCAAUAUAAGGAUAAUGUAUACUUAAAAUACGUUCAUUGCUUCAGGAAAAUUAUUUUUAACAUGAUAGGUACUCAUAGAGUAUUGAUUUAAUUACUUUCUGUAAUUUUAAUUCUUGUACAUGUAGGUUACUAGAAUGAAUAUCCAUAAAUCCAUGAUCCCUGAAACCUGCAGACAUUUUCUGAUUGAAGAGAGGAUGUGCAUUGCACGAGUGUUCCCUGACCAUUUAAUACAAAUUGGCUAAGGAUUUUAUAGAACCCACAAUUUUCUACAAAUAUCACAGAGACUUUAGAUUUUGUGAAUCCAUCUUUAUGUUCCACAAAAACACAUUAUGCUACAUUUUAUUUUGUGGAUUGUACACAUCGGUCAAUUAAUUAAGCAUUUGUUAGUAUCUAGAGUGCCUUUGUGUCAGAUUCUGUUCCAAGCACGGAAUAUAUCUAUGAUCAAAAGAAAUUGUUAUUCUUUUGAAGCUUUAAUGUAGGGGAAGAUAAAUAACAAAUUUAAAAUAUUAUGGUAAAUAUCACAUAAUAAUAAGCUCUAUAAAGAAAAUAAAGCAAAGGAAUGGGGUGAGAACUGGAGAUGGGUCUGAGAAAGUGACAUUUGAGUAGAAAUUUGAAUGAAUUUAGGGAGUAAGCUAAGUGGAAUCUGGGAAGAGAAACUUCCAGCAGAAGAAAUAGUAAAGGAAUAACUCUAGAUAGAUUCUUAUUUAGAAUUUGGUAAAAUAAGAGGAGGAUCAAUAUGGUGAAGCUGGUGUAUGGCGAAUAGCGAAGACAAUGUUAAAUGGCCAAGCUCAAAUCAUAGAGAUUAUAUGGGUCAUAGAUAGGAAUUUGGAUUUCAUUCUGAGUGUACCUGGAAUAUAUUCAAGUGAGAAAUCAAGGAUGAAUUCCAAGUAUUUUGGCUUUAGCAACUGGGUCAAUGAAAGUGUUAUUUACUGAGAUAAGAAACACCAUAGGAAGGACAGGUUUUGAAGGGGAAAUCAGGAGUUUGGUUUUGGACGUGACACAUUUAGGAUGUCCAUUGGAAUUCCCAGUGAAGAUCUCGGUAGGCAGAUAGUGAUAUUGCAAGGUUAGAACUAUGGUGAAGUCAGUGAAGCACUCAUCUCAGAUACAAAAUUUAAGGAAGCACCAAAAAACUGAGUAAUCAAGAUUAAAAAUAUUUCAAUGUGAUAUAUCUUAAAAAUCAAAAUUAAUGCCAAAAAAUCCAUGGUGAAAAAAAAAUUUCAUUUAUAAUUUGUUUGGUAGCAGGACGUUGGCCCCCAUUAUCUUUACUCUCUUGUUUUUCAUCUGUAAAUAUAUUACCUCACGUAUGAAAAGGUACUUUAAAAUAAUAUUUGUUAAUCAGUUGCUCUUAAAAUAGGGAAAUCAUCCAGGAUUGUUCAGUGGUCCCUUUGCACUAUUAUGAACUUUAAAAGCAGCAGAGGAAGGCAAAAUAGUCAGAACGUGUGGUGGAAGAAAAUGCAGGAGAGAUCUGAGAGACUGAAAGAUAAAAUUGGCUAUCUUUGGCUUUGAGAAUAAACCAGGAUGAGUCAUCAGCCAGAGAAUGCCAAGGGAUGACCUCUAGAAGGUAAGAACAAACACUGGGCGACAGCAAGCAAGGAAACAGGGUCCUCAGCCCUGCAACUUCAAGAAACAAAAUUCUUACAACAACAACCUGAACGAGCCUGGAAGUGGAUUCUCCCCUAGAGCCUCCAGGCAAAAAAGCCCAACUGCCAUCUUGAUUUUAGCCUUGUACCUGGAACAGAGAAACCAGAUGAGGCUAUUGGAUUUCUGACCUAGAGACUUGUGAGAUACGAAAUUUUUGGUGGUUUUUAGUUUUGUUUUAAAACAGUAAGUUUGUGGUAAGUUGUGACAAUAACAAUAGAAAACUAAUACAAAGUCAACAUUACUAAUUUUUCCUUUUGCCUCAGGCUCAAAGAUGGUUUGGUACUAUACUUUAAAUCUGUCUUAACUGGGGGUUUAAAUUUGAGAUUUAUUAUGUAUACAUGGUAUUUCAAACCAGGGCUAUAUAUGACUACUAAGGAGUGAGUGAAUGUAGAACAAAGAAAAGCUCUAAGGACUGAACUUUACACUAUACUAAAAUGUAAUAAUUCAGCAAGAGGAGGAUCCAGAAAAAAAAAAAAAAAACUAAGAAAUGUAAUCCAAGAGGGCAAGAAAAAAUACAUUAUAUUAUCCCGGUUUCUGAUAUCUUCUUAUAGAUCAAAUCACCUAAUAUCUGGUUUCUACCAUUAUGAAUAAUGUUUAAAUAUAGAGUUGUGUAUUUCCAUGGAAGAUUAAAAUAUAUGCUAUGAAUCACUUGAUUUUUAACUUAUUUUCUAGAGAAAGUAACUAUGCAUGUUUAAUUCACCCAUCCCUAUUUAAUUUAUAUUAUUUUGAAAAAUUGGUUAUCUACUAAACUGUACUCCACAAAAGGUAAAAUAGAUAUGGUUCCUUACCUAGUGUCAUUACUCUCCUUUAGAAUUUUCUUUUUAACUCAUGUUACUAGCAAGAAUAUCCUUAAAUAAACUAUUAAAAUAUUUGUGU
rnacentral:lncRNA from 1 species